rnacentral:rRNA from 1 species
GAUGAACGCUGGCGGCGUGCCUAAUACAUGCAAGUCGAGCGAAUGGAUUAAGAGCUUGCUCUUAUGAAGUUAGCGGCGGACGGGUGAGUAACACGUGGGUAACCUGCCCAUAAGACUGGGAUAACUCCGGGAAACCGGGGCUAAUACCGGAUAACAUUUUGAACCGCAUGGUUCGAAAUUGAAAGGCGGCUUAGGCUGUCACUUAGGGAUGGACCCGCGUCGCAGUAGCUAGUUGGUGAGGUAACGGCUCACCAAGGCAACGAUGCGUAGCCGACCUGAGAGGGUGAUCGGCCACACUGGGACUGAGACACGGCCCAGACUCCUACGGGAGGCAGCAGUAGGGAAUCUUCCGCAAUGGACGAAAGUCUGACGGAGCAACGCCGCGUGAGUGAUGAAGGCUUUCGGGUCGUAAAACUCUGUUGUUAGGGAAGAACAAGUGCUAGUUGAAUAAGCUGGCACCUUGACGGUACCUAACCAGAAAGCCACGGCUAACUACGUGCCAGCCGCCGCCGUAA